UAGGGAAUCUUCGGCAAUGGGGGCAACCCUGACCGAGCAACGCCGCGUGAGUGAAGAAGGUUUUCGGAUCGUAAAGCUCUGUUGUAAGAGAAGAAUGUGUGUGAGAGUGGAAAGUUCACACAGUGACGGUAACUUACCAGAAAGGGACGGCUAACUACGUGCCAGCAGCCGCGGUAAUACGUAGGUCCCGAGCGUUGUCCGGAUUUAUUGGGCGUAAAGCGAGCGCAGGCGGUUUAAUAAGUCUGAAGUUAAAGGCAGUGGCUUAACCAUUGUUCGCUUUGGAAACUGUUAAACUUGAGUGCAGAAGGGGAGAGUGGAAUUCCAUGUGUAGCGGUGAAAUGCGUAGAUAUAUGGAGGAACACCGGUGGCGAAAGCGGCUCUCUGAUCUGUAACUGACGCUGAGGCUCGAAAGCGUGGGGAGCAAACA
rnacentral:rRNA from 1 species